ensembl:snoRNA F47E1.19 ncRNA
UCAGUGAGAACAAAGUUAUCAAAGAUCAUAAAUGUUCUAAUAACAAUGCUUGGAGAAGUGUUCAAAAAUUACUGAUAGAUCACGUGUUCCGAUGAGCAAUUUUUUGUUUUUCACACAAUCUAAAAGAUGAUUCAACUGAACACUCAGUAACAUUACG